GAGGGUACAGCUCAGUGGUAGAGCAUGUGCUUAGCAUGCACAAGGUCCUGGGUUCAACCCCCAGUACCUCCC
rnacentral:tRNA from 1 species